GGCCUGGCGCGUCCGCCGAGCGCGGGGGUUUGUUUAUUUUCCCGGUUGGUAGCGGCGCUGGCGCUGGUUAGAGGUUCGCCGGUGACGUGAGCGCCCGAGUUGGGGGAGAGGACCAGAACCACCUGCUGGAGAAAGGGAGCUACGGGGGCCGGGCAGGGUCCAAACGCCUCACGUGGGCGGCGGCGCCACGGUCUUCGGGGUCACAGGGAAGAGAAGGGCUCUCCUCAAGCGGGUGGAAGGAGGGAGGCCUCCCGAGGGAAUGAGACUCCAGGCCACUCCCCCGCAGCAAGGCAGGAUCACCUGCGUCGCGGAGAGCAGUUAGAGGUCCCUGGAGUGGAAAAGGGCAGUGGGACCUGGUAGCUUGGGUUCCCUGCAACUUGGGGUUCGACCUCCAGGCAAUGAAGUAGGGAUGGUCCUGCAAGUCAAGAUUCCAGUAGCAAGAGUGCAUCAGAUCUCUGUAAGGAAAAUAACUAACAUUGCUCAGUUCCCUGUAGAGUUGCAGGGCGCUUUGACGUUAUCUCCCUUGGUUCUCCAUCAGGUCGUAGUGGACUAAUUUUACAGGCGAAGUUAAGUGACUUACCCAAAACCUCACAGCUAAUAAACGGCAGAGCCGGCACCCAGCUGUACUGGCUUCCAGCGCAUCCCAUUAUCUCCAUAAAUCCCCCUGAUUCAACUAAUAUUAGACGCCCCACAGGUAAGAUGCUUCAGAGUUAGAGGGGAGUUGAAGAUACCUUUGCCUUCAAAGAAGUAAGGAAUGAAACAAAGAUAAAACAGACAAUAAAAGACAAACCAUGAUAGGUGCCACGUGAAAAGUGGCAGAGUACUGCCGGGAAUCAAAGAACCGUGUAUAUCUGUCUUGGGGAUAAGGAAAGAAACGCAGCAUGAAGGAGUAGGCAUUUGGGAUUGACCUUGAAGGAGACAGGGAGAGUUUUACAGCAAGAAGGGAUAGCAUGAGAAUAUAUAUGAAGGCGAAUCAGUGAAAGUUGUGUUGGGGAAAGAGCAAAGACUCCAGGUAUGUUGAGAGGUAGAAAAGACAAAGGAGUAUGGGGCCUAAGAUACCAAAUGGAUGAAUUUAUAUUUAAUUCAGUAUUUUGAGUUUUUAUGGUUCAGAAGUUUGGGGGAAGAAAAGGAAGGUUUUUUUUUUCUUUAUGCUAGUGAUUUAUCUGUGAAGGGAAGCAGAAAUCAGAGGUGGAAAAACUGACAGAUCUACUGUAGGCCAGGUAAAAGGUAAUGAUGAGUCUGACCUAAAGGGACAGCCAGGGGAAUUUAAAGAGCAUAGUUGAGAGAUGAUGUGCAUGCAGAAUCUAUAGAAUUUGCUAACUGAUUGAUUAAUUGUGGGUAGGAAGAGAGAAAUCAAAGAAAGUGGAGGUUUUGAGUUUCUAGAUAAUUGCAAGAGAGAAAAGAGACAAUUACAAAGGAAAGGAGAAGGAGCUACUUCUUGAGAGAAGAUCAGUUUAGAUUUAGACAUUUUAAGAAUUCAAAGGGUUGUCAAGACAGCCAGACGGACAUGGACACUAAUAAGUUAGAAAUAAAGGUUUUGUAAUAUGGGAAAGAGGACUGAGCUAGAAAAUAGACUCAUAGAUAAUCAGCCUAGGAGUGAUAUUGCUGUGAGAUAAAAGAAGAAAACAAAGUCAGAAUCUUGGAAAACACCCUCUUCAGAGUCUCGCUGCUCAAAACGUGGUCAGUGGCCCAGCAGCACUGACAUGAGGACCUUAGUUGGAAACUCAGAAUCUCAGGCUCCACCCCAGACCUGCUGAACCAGCAUCUUCAACUUAACAAGAACCCGAAGAGAUUUGUGCCACAUCAAAAAGUUUGAGAAGCUCUGAUCUAGGUGAGCCAAGCCAGCAAAGAAAGGGGGUGGAGCAGAAAAUGGGAGGAGAAUAGGGUAAUGCAGAAUCAUCAAGACAAGGUAAAUUGGACUUUCACAAAAACGGGGCUGGAAGGAGUGUUGCUCAACAAUAUCCAAAACCACAGAGGUUGAAAAGCACAAGGAAAGAAGGUAUGUUUGCACUUUGUGAUUAGGUAGUAGGGUCUUUAAGACCACAUUGUUCUCAUUGAAAGCCUGGGAAGAAAGAUCCCCUUUCUGGUCAAGGUUAGUCUAGGGAUCCAUCCCCUCUUCCCCAGUUCCCACGUAUAUGGGACAUGUCGAGAUAAGUAGAUAGAUUGGACAGUGGGAGAAAGUAGUUCUCUUCCAGUUGCUUCUAUUUUCUCAGCAAAGUGAGGAACAAGAUCAUUUUGGCAGACUGCUAAUUGUCCAUCAUAAUUUAGUCUCCCCUUCUCCCUGAAAACACAGACUGCUUUUCUCAGCCUCUCUUUCAGUUGCAUAUGGUCAAGUAUUAAGUUAUAGAACAUGAGCAGAUGUUAUGUCUGCCACUGUCAGGCCAAGGCGUUUACUUUGAGAGUACUUGUGCCUCUUUCAUACAUUUUCCUUUCUGCCAGCUGGACCCUGGACACGGUGACUCUGAUUCAAUUAUGCAGAUGACCACAAGCCUCUGGGGUUGGCAGAGCCACAAGAAAGAAGGUGCCUGGAUGAAGGAGAGCUACCCACUGACCUGGACACCCAAUUAUGUCAUAGGUGCUGCAAUCUAGAGACAAAAUAUUCCUUACACUGCCAGAUACUUGCAAACUAAGGGGAACGAGCUUCCCUCUGAAUGUUUAUGAAGGAGAGACCACUGUGUCAUCUGUCUUAGAGCUAUUGGAAUCCUGGAUCAUUGUGGGAAAUGAAAAGAACUGGUUUUUAGCAAGGAGACCAAGAAACUCUACUCCCUAGGGGCUAGCAAUGAGAGAAAGGAAGCCUUGAGUCUUUGAGCACAGGGUGACAGUUUGGGUCCUAUGUGAGAUGAUCAAAUCCACAGCAACAGAGGAAAGGACAAAAGGAAAAGGUCUGUAGCAGCACUACAUCAGAAAAAAUGGAUUCCGCAAGGAAGUGGGUGACUCUGAAUACUUCGAUGGAAUCAGCAGCCAUUGAUCCAAUGCCAACUCCAAGACUGGAACGUCGCAAUGAUAGUUCCAAGGCGGAAAUUUGACGUAAUUCUUUUCGACACAGUUUUACAGGUCUGGAUGCCCAUUUUAAUUCUUCUGAAAGCAUGCCUCCUUCUGGCUUCAGGACUCCAUCUCCAGCCUUAUGAUCUAAAAAUAAUCCCCAAACCAAAAAAUUAGAUAUUAUUUCCUCAAAAUUAGGUGUUUUAAUCAAAACAUCUUAACAUAAAUACAUUAUUAUCACCCAAUAUGCAUAAUGUUGUUCAACUUUUUUGUUAAAUGACUUAUUUUAGAUGAACAGAUGUGUGAAUAUGAAUAUUUUUAUUUCA
rnacentral:lncRNA from 1 species